AAUCCCGCGCGGCUCAGAGAUGGGUUUCUGGACUCGCGAAGCAGCUGCAACAAGGCAUCACUCACUGUAUAAGUACUUCCAUUUCUGAGAGCAAAAGGAAGAACUUAAGCGGGCGGCACUUGGAGUGUAAAUUGCUUUGUAGUAUUUAAAGGCAGAAUGGAUCCUGGGCAGCCGAGCUGAUCAUGAGGCUCCUGAGGCCUCCUAGCCAUGUUUCCUGUGCAGCCUAUGGAACUAAUCACUGUUGUAUUUUUAAACCUUAUUCCUGGAAGCACUACGGAUAUCAGAUCAAUUUAGAAAGCCAAAGACUACCUCUGGGAAUGAAAUGGCAGUAAUAGAAACAAUAUUUGGCCAAACUAUCGCUGUAUGCCAAUGAUGCCAAAAAUCACAGUAACCUGGCAGCAACAAACUGGCAGGACUUCCUGUGAAAUCAUGACCACCAUGUGCUCUUUCAGCCUCCAUCAAUUCCUACCUCUAAGCACCUGAGAGCCAAAGCAAACCACAGGAAACCACAGACUCAAACUAAACAUCAGCUUUUCCCGGCUCUCAAGCCUGCUGGUCCCUGAACUAAAACUCACAUUAUCAACUCUACUGGUU
rnacentral:lncRNA from 1 species